GGUUGGACAACAGCAGAGGGGAAAAGAAAGAGAGGUAGACCAAAAGAAAAUAUGGCGACGCACAAUAGAAAGUGAACUGAGAAUCAUGGGAAUGACAUGGACAGAGGCAGGAAAAAGGCACAAGACAGGCAACAGUGAAGGGCUUUGGUAGUGACAUCAUGUGCAAGUGGACAGGAAGAGGAUUAAGUUAUUAAAAAGAAAAGAAACGACAUAAAACUGACAAAGUUCCCGACUUAGAACAUACAUAUGAAAAGUUGAUAGGUCGAAGUAGUUUUCUAGAACUCAACUCCACUUCUCUAACAGCAGACUGACAAAACGUCAGUAAAAUAUCAUACAGUAAAAAAG
rnacentral:lncRNA from 1 species